rnacentral:rRNA from 1 species
AAGAACAAGUGCCGUGCGAAUAGAGCGGCACCUUGACGGUACCUGACGAGGAAGCCCCGGCUAACUACGUGCCAGCAGCCGCGGUAAUACGUAGGGGGCAAGCGUUGUCCGGAAUUAUUGGGCGUAAAGCGCGCGCAGGCGGUUCCUUAAGUCUGAUGUGAAAGCCCACGGCUCAACCGUGGAGGGUCAUUGGAAACUGGGGAACUUGAGUACAGAAGAGGAGAGUGGAAUUCCACGUGUAGCGGUGAAAUGCGUAGAUAUGUGGAGGAACACCAGUGGCAAAGGCGACUCUCUGGUCUGUAACUGACGCUGAGGCGCGAAAGCGUGGGGAGCAAACAGGAUUAGAUACCCUGGUAGUCCACGCCGUAAACGAUGAGUGCUAGGUGUUAGGGGGCUUCCACCCCUUAGUGCUGAAGUUAACGCAUUAAGCACUCCGCCUGGGGAGUACGGCCGCAAGGCUGAAACUCAAAGGAAUUGACGGGGGCCCGCACAAGCGGUGGAGCAUGUGGUUAAAUC